GCUUGACUGGCUCAGUUGGUAGAGCAUGCAACUCUUGAUCACAGGGUGGUGAAUUCAAGCCCCACGUUGGGCA
rnacentral:tRNA from 1 species